CCGGCGCGGCUCUAGGACCGCGACCCCGGAGCACAGACCUCCUGACCCGGCGUGAACCCGGGGCUCCUGCGGUGUGGGGUCGAGGGUGCGGGGCAUCGGCGGUGGCUCCGGUGCAGGCCGCUCGCGGGCCUGGUGGCCCAGUAGCUAAUGCACCUCGCAGAGGCCAUGCCUGCCAGCACAGAGCUGUGAGCGCACCCUACUGUGGAAGCGCCUCGUUGGGAGCGGAAAAGUCCCCUGACAGGAUUUCUAGGCUGAAUCUUGAACGAGGAAUAAGAGUUCGCCAGGCCUGACUGGGAGGUAAAGGACGCCCCAGGCCCGGGGACCUUCAGAAGCAGAAAAGAGGAGGAUUAAAACCGCAGGCCGUUGUUAUAUGAAAUGCUGUGGUGCAGAAAAGGGCUGGGAGUAGGUAGUCUGGCUCUUCUAGAGAGGGCAUCACAAGAUCACAAAAAUGUGAUCUACUUAUGACUGGGGGGAAAAAAAGUGUACUUUCAGAGCAAGCUUAAGGUUUCCCAAUUCCUGCUUCUGGUGUGCGCUAUUCCCUUGAUGGUUGAUAAUCUUCUAGUAACUGCCCCCCAAACCCUCGCCCCUGAGACAAAAACUUCACGAAAUGGAGUAUGUGCUUACUGCAAAUAGACAUUGGUUGGACUUGGAGUGCAAGAUGGAGAAUUCCCGGAGAUAAGACUGAGGCUUGGUCCUGCAGGGGCUUACAUAUGAGCAGAAGUCCAAAGUCAGGACUUGAUUCUGUGGGCUAUUGAAAAUCACCACAAAUAUUUGCGUUUUAGAAAUCUCAUGUUGAAUAGAUAAGAAACCAGUUAGGAGGCCCUUUUUUUUUUUAUUGGAUGUGGAAGAUAAUGAGAACUUGAACUACAGCAGUGGGGAAGGAAGACAGCUGUACAUCCAGGAAACAAUUAUCUCCAAUAUUCCAGGGCCUUGCACAUCCUCUCUGUCUUCACCGUACUCAUCAGCCUCGGCUGGCUCUUCAGUUCUUGCCUCCCUAGAAGAGGAAGCGUGACCACCAACUUGGAUCUGAAGGUCUCCAUACUGAGCUUCAUCUCAGGUUCACUGGCAUACCAGGGAUGCCAUGGAGUCAGCUCUCCUGUGGGCCUAUCAUAUUAACUGGUGGAGUGACUUCUUA